UACGGAGGGUGCAAGCGUUAUCCGGAUUCACUGGGUUUAAAGGGUGCGUAGGCGGGCAUUUAAGUCAGUGGUGAAAUACCUGAGCUUAACUUGGGAACUGCCAUUGAUACUAUAUAUCUUGAAUGCUGUGGAGGUAAGCGGAAUAUGUCAUGUAGCGGUGAAAUGCUUAGAUAUGACAUAGAACACCUAUUGCGAAGGCAGCUUACUACGCAGAGAUUGACGCUCAUGCACGAAAGCGUGGGGAUCAAACAGG
rnacentral:rRNA from 1 species